rnacentral:rRNA from 1 species
UACGAGAGGCCCAAACGUUAUUCGGAAUUACUGGGCUUAAAGAGUUCGUAGGCGGCGCAGAAAGUAGGGUGUGAAAGCCCUCGGCUCAACCGAGGAAUUGCGCUCUAAACUACUGUGCUAGAGGAAGCUGAGAGGUGAGGCGGAACUGAUGGGUGGAGCGGUGAAAUGCGUUGAUAUCAUCAGGGAACACCGGAGGCGAAGGCGGCGCACUUGGGGCUUUUCUGGACGCUGAGGAACGAAAGCCAAGGGGAGCGAACCGGGG